GUGGGGAAUAUUGGGCAAUGGGCGAAAGCCUGACCCAGCAACGCCGCGUGAAGGAAAAAGGUCUUCGGAUCGUAAACUUCUAUCCUUGGUGAAGAUAAUGACGGUAGCCGAGAAGGAAGCCCCGGCUAACUACGUGCCAGCAGCCGCGGUAAUACGUAGGGGGCAAGCGUUGUCCGGAAUGAUUGGGCGUAAAGGGCGCGUAGGCGGCCUGGUAAGUCUGGAGUGAAAGUCCUGCUUUUAAGGUGGGAAUUGCUUUGGAUACUGUCGGGCUUGAGUGCAGGAGAGGUAAGUGGAAUUCCCGGUGUAGCGGUGAAAUGCGUAGAGAUCGGGAGGAACACCAGUGGCGAAGGCGACUUACUGGACUGUAACUGACGCUGAGGCGCGAAAGUGUGGGGAGCAAACAGGAUUAGAAACCCGUGUAGUCC
rnacentral:rRNA from 1 species